GACGAACGCUGGCGGCGUGCCUAACACAUGCAAGUCGAGCGAUGAAGUUCUUCGGAACGGAUUAGCGGCGGACGGGUGAGUAACGCGUGAGCAAUCUGCCUUACACAAAGGGAUAGCCUCGGGAAACUGGGAUUAAUACCAUAUGACACUUGGUAAUCGCAUGAGGACCAAGUCAAAGAUUUUAUCGGUGUAAGAUGAGCUCGCGUCUGAUUAGCUAGUUGGUGGGGUAAAGGCCUACCAAGGCGACGAUCAGUAGCCGGCCUGAGAGGGUGAACGGCCACACUGGAACUGAGACACGGUCCAGACUCCUACGGGAGGCAGCAGUGGGGAAUAUUGCACAAUGGGCGCAAGCCUGAUGCAGCGACGCCGCGUGAGCGAAGAAGGUUUUCGGAUCGUAAAGCUACUGUCCUCGUAGGAAAGAAAAAUGACGGUACCAGAGGAGGACGCCCGGCUAACUACGUCGACAGCAGCCGACGGUAACACUACUCGUACUGAC
rnacentral:rRNA from 1 species